AGUGAACGCUGGCGGUAGGCCUAACACAUGCAAGUCGAACGGCAGCACAGUAAGAGCUUGCUCUUACGGGUGGCGAGUGGCGGACGGGUGAGGAAUACAUCGGAAUCUACUUUUUCGUGGGGGUUAACGUAGGGAAACUUACGCUAAUACCGCAUACGACCUACGGGUGAAAGCAGGGGAUCUUCGGACCUUGCGCGAUUGAAUGAGCCGAUGUCGGAUUAGCUAGUUGGCGGGGUAAAGGCCCACCAAGGCGACGAUCCGUAGCUGGUCUGAGAGGAUGAUCAGCCACACUGGAACUGAGACACGGUCCAGACUCCUACGGGAGGCAGCAGUGGGGAAUAUUGGACAAUGGGCGCAAGCCUGAUCCAGCCAUACCGCGUGGGUGAAGAAGGUCUUCGGGUUGUAAAGCCCUUUUGUUGGGAAAGAAAAGCAGCAGGUUAAUACCCCGCUGUUCUGACGGUACCCAAAGAAUAAGCACCGGCUAACUUCGUG
rnacentral:rRNA from 1 species